AUACGUAGGGGGCGAGCGUUGUCCGGAAUGAUUGGGCGUAAAGGGCGCGUAGGCGGCCCGGUAAGUCUGGAGUGAAAGUCCUGUUUUUAAGAUGGGAAUUGCUUUGGAUACUGUCGGGCUUGCGUGCAGGAGAGGUAAGUGGAAUUCCUGGUGUAGCGGUGAAAUGCGCAGAUAUCAGGAGGAACACCGGUGGCGAAGGCGGGUCUCUGGGCAGUAACUGACGCUGAGGAGCGAAAGCAUGGGUAGCGAACAGGAUUAGAUACCCUGGUAGUCCAUGCCGUAAACGGUGGGCGCUAGGUGUAGGGGUCUUCCACGACUUCUGUGCCGUAGCUAACGCAUUAAGCGCCCCGCCUGGGGAGUACGGCCGCAAGGUUGAAACUCAAAUGAAUUGACGGGG
rnacentral:rRNA from 1 species